UACGUAGGGUGCAAGCGUUAAUCGGAAUUACUGGGCGUAAAGCGUGCGCAGGCGGUUUUGUAAGUCUGACGUGAAAUCCCCGGGCUUAACCUGGGAAUUGCGUUGGAGACUGCAAGGCUAGAAUCUGGCAGAGGGGGGUGGAAUUCCACGUGUAGCAGUGAAAUGCGUAGAGAUGUGGAGGAACACCGAUGGCGAAGGCAGCCCCCUGGGCUGAGAUUGACGCUCAGGCACGAAAGCGUGGGGAGCAAACAGG
rnacentral:rRNA from 1 species